UUUUUAGAGGUUUUGAAGAAUUCUUUCGUGUGAAAAUGAUUUAGUUUUGUGCUUCAGGAAAUUAGCCUUGGAAUUAUUGGAAACCUUGCCUGCCAUGAAGCUCUGUUGAUGCAUAUAGUUUCUAUAAAUGGAUUGAUUGAGAUAGUUGUGGAUCAACUAUUCUUAGAAGAUUCUUAGUGCCUUAGUGAAGCUUGCUGGUUGUUAACUUUGGGUAUUCAAAGUAGUGAAUGCAUUACAUGGGCUAAAGCAUUGCAAUCUGAACAUGUUAUAUACUAUAUUUUAUGGAUUGUGGAAAAUACCCUAAAUCUCCAGCUUAUUGAAAAGAGGCUUCCCUUUCUGAACAGAGUGUUGGACUAUUAUUAGCCAUCAUUGAAAGUCAGCUAGAAGUUUUGCAUGUACUUCUUUCGCCUUUGAUGAAACUAGGUUUACCAAGUUUAUUGGUUAAUCCCUUGACUUUUGAGAUGAGCAAAUUAGUGAGUGAAAGAAUACCUGAAAGGUACGGCUUCACUCUGUUUUCAAUUAGGUGAUGCAAUAUGAAUUUGGUAGACUAAUUCACUUCAUAAAUGCAAUAAAAUGGGACAUUUAUGAUUUACUAUCUUGUUUAGCUAUUACGCAUUAUAUACUAGACUAGUAAAACAAAGUAACAAUCAUGUGCUACAUGAAUCGGGUGUACCGAAUGGCAAUAAUCUUUGGAAGAGGCACAUUUCAAUGCUUGAGUGGUGCUUUAUGUGUAAAAGGUGUGGGAAAUCGGUGGAUCACCUUCUUCUUCAUUGUCCUAUAGCAUAUGAGUUGUGGUCUAUGGUUUUUUGUUUGUUUGGUAUACAUUGGGUUAUGCCAUAUAAAGUUAGUAAAUUGCUUGCUUUUAAUAAAUUUAAUAUUUUUACCUCUGGGCCUUGACAUUUUGAUCCACACAGUUAAUAAAAUUUAGGUAGCUCAUCACUUAAGUCUUACCCAAUUUUAUGUGGUUUACAGGUUGUCUUUGACGCACCCAGUGGUGUAAUAUCUACAAUGAAACCUGGAGCAAAUUGGGUGGUUAUGCACUUGUUAAAGUGGAUGUAUGUGCUUUAUGGAGUAAGGAAAAUAUUGGAGGGAUGGGGUGUCCUCUACGUGGAAGUACAUGAAGAAAGGAUGCAUCAUCUUGUUUUCAAUGAUACUAGCAUUUGUCAUGGGCCUGACCUUCUUGUUGGGAAGUGGCACUUCUUCAUAUAUUUGUUACUUGAGGAUAAUUGAUGGAGCACAGUGGUUUUCAAUUUUUUUUUUCUUCUUUUAAUUAGCCAUUUUGAAAACUUGGAACCAUUUGAAUACUUAAAAAUUAGGCUGGUGCUUUGGUUUUUAUAUGAGAAUGGAGUUUAAUUUGGAAUUGCACAAUUGUGUUUAUGUUUAUAUUUUGAAUCAAGUUAUUAAAUUUGGAUCAAGUGAA